UACGGGGGGGGCAAGCGUUGUUCGGAAUUACUGGGCGUAAAGGGCUCGUAGGUGGCCAACUAAGUCAGACGUGAAAUCCCCCGGCUUAACCGGGGAACUGCGUCUGAUACUGGAUGGCUUGAGUUCGGGAGAGGGAUGCGGAAUUCCAGGUGUAGCGGUGAAAUGCGUAGAUAUCUGGAGGAACACCGGUGGCGAAGGCGGCAUCCUGGACCGACACUGACGCUGAGGAGCGAAAGCCAGGGGAGCAAACAGG
rnacentral:rRNA from 1 species